rnacentral:lncRNA from 1 species
UCAGAGGUUUUCUUUCUAUGAUGACGUGGCAAAUGGAGAGGAGAGGGAGUGGGGCCACAAGAAGCAUCACAAGCACCACCAUGUUGAAGGAGAAGAGGAGCAUGAGCAUGAGCAUGAGCAUGAGCAUGAGGAGCAUGAUCAUGAGCAUGAUCACGAGGAGCAUGAGCAUGAGCAUGAGGAGCAUGAUCAUGAGCAUGAUCACGAGGAGCAUGGGCACGGGCACGGGCACGGGCACGAUCACGAGCAUGAGCAUGGGCACGAUCACGAGGAGCACGGGCACGGGCAUGAGGAGCACGGGCACGAGCAUGAGCACGAGGAGCAUGAGCAUGAGCAUGGGCAUGGGCAUGGACAU